AUGAACUUCCAGAUGUUCAAGCUGGUUUUAGAAAAGGCAAAGGAACCAGAGAUCAAAUUGCCAACAUCUGCUGGGUCAUGGAAAAAGCAAGAGAGUUCCAGAAAAACAUCUAUUUCUACUUUAUUGACUAUGCCAAAACCUUUGACUGUGUGGAUCACAACAAACUGGAAAAUUCUGAAAGAGAUGGGAAUACCAGAGCACCUGACCUGCCUCUUGAGAAAACUGUAUGCAGGUCAGGAAGCAACCAUUAGAACUGGACAUGGAACAACAGACUGGUUCCAAAUAGGAAAAGGAGUAUGUCAAGGCUGUAUAUGGUCACCCUGCUUAUUUAACUUCUAUGCAGAUUACAUCAUGAGAAAUGCUGGACUGGAAGAAGCACAAGCUGGAAUGAAGAUUGAUGGAAGAAGUAUCAAUAACCUCAGAUAUGCAGAUGACACCACCCUUAUGGCAGAAAGUGAAGAGGAACUAAAAAGCCUCUUGAUGAAAGUGAAAGAGGAGAGUGAAAAAGUUAGCUUAAAGUUCAACAUUCAGAAAACGAAGAUCAUGGCAUCUGGUCCCAUCCCUUCAUGGGAAAUAGAUGGGGAAACAGUGGAAACAGUGUCAGACUUUAUUUUGGGGGACUCCAAAAUCACUGUAGAUAAUGACUGCAGCCAUGAAAUUAAAAGACUCUUGCUCCUUGGAAGGAAAGUUAUGACCAACCUAGAUUGCAUAUUCAAAAGCAGAGACAUUACUUUGCCGACUAAGGUCCAUCUAUUCAAGGCUAUGGUUUUUCCAGUGGUCAUAUAUGGAUGUGAGAGUUGGACUGUGAAGAAAGCUGAGUGCCGAAGAAUUGAUGCUUUUAAACUGUGGUGUUGGAGAAGACUCUUGAGAGUCCCUUGGACUGCAAGGAGAUCCAACAAGCCCAUUCUGAAGGAGAUCAGUCCUGGGUUUUCUUUGGAAGGAAUGAUGCUGAAGCUGAAACUCCAGUACUUUGGCCACAUCAUGCAAAGAGCUGACUCAUUGGAAAAGACUCUGAUGCUGGGAGGGAUUGGGGACAGGAGGAGAAUGGGACGACAGAGGAUGAGAUGGCUGGAUGGCAUCACUGACUCAACGGACGUGAGUCUGAGUGAACUCCGGGAGUUGGUGAUGGACAGGGAGGCCUGGUGUGCUGCGAUUCAUGGGGUGGCAAAGAGUCGGAUACGAUUGAGCGACUGA
rnacentral:lncRNA from 1 species